AAUCGGCAAAAGCCCAAACAGCGAGUAGACCCCUAAACAUCUAGAGAAACCCAAAUAGAAAGGCAAGCAAUCUAGUGAGACGUAAAGUGAAGUGACAAGGAAAAAGCUGCAACUCCAAAAAAGCUGUUGAAGGACCAAACACAACGCAAUGGCAGUCGCAUCUAACCUCGCCAGUUUCACCUCUCUCUUUGUAAAUUCUCCUCGCACUCUCUCUCCAAACACCAAGUCCUCGCUUUGUUCUAUUUCUCUCAACAACACUCACAGCCUCAGAACCAGCUCAAGCUCAAACCUUAGCACCAAUGGCUCAAGAACACACAGGCCCAUUUCGGUUCAAGCUAUGGCUUCCUCGUUCGGGUCUCGGCUCGAGGAGAGCGUGAAGAAGACGGUGGCUGAGAGCCCAGUUGUUGUUUACUCCAAAACUUGGUGCUCGUACUCGUCUGAAGUCAAGGCGUUGUUCAACAGGCUUGGUGUGCAGCCAUUGGUCAUUGAAUUGGACGAACUGGGUCCCCAAGGGCCACAAGUUCAGAAGGUUCUAGAGAGGCUUACUGGACAACAUACUGUACCAAAUGUUUUCAUUGGGGGCAAACAUAUUGGCGGAUGUACAGAUACAGUGAAGCUAUACCGGAAAGGAGAACUUGAACCUUUGCUGUCAGAAGCUAAUGCCAAAACUACCGAGAGCUAGGCCUUGGAAAUGUUGUCUUGAAGAAUUUGAUCCCCAUGCAGACCUUGGACUUCACAAGAAAACUUGAUGGAAGUUUUGUGGGUCAAAAACGCUGAAGUUUGGGUGUGGUCAAAACCUUAAACUUAUUAAAUGGACAAGGAGAAACUGUGAACUUUAAAGUUAGGAAAAUGCUUCUGGUACUACAGUUUUUACUUCAAUUUCCUUACAAACUUGACGUGGUAGUAUAACUGGUGUGAUUAAGCUCUUAUCUCCAUGCGAAGAGUGAAAAUACCUAAUCAUUUCACUAUUUAUGAUUGUCAUAUCUCUCUUUUUUCUUUGAAUUAGGGGCUUCAUGUAUACGUCAUGUGUACCAUGGGUUGCGCUCCUUUGUGCUUUUUGAAUAUACUUUACUUAUCAAAAAAAAAUUAUGAUUGUCAUGUCAAAUUUGUAAGGGACUUGUAAUAAAAGCUGUAGUACCUCUAGCAGCAGUCUUAAAGUUAUUUAGUUAUUUAUCAUGUCCGUUUUAGCUGGAAAA